AACGAACGCUGGCGGCGCGCCUAAUACAUGCAAGUCGAACGAGAAGCUGUAGCAAUACAGUUGUACAGUGGCGAACGGGUGAGGAAUACAUGGGUGACCUACCCUCGAGUGGGGAAUAACCAGCCGAAAGGUUGGCUAAUACCGCGUACGCUUCCCAGUCUACGGGUUGGGAAGGAAAGCGAUACCGUGGGUAUCGCGCUCUUGGAUGGGCUCAUGUCCUAUCAGCUUGGGUGAGGUAACGGCUCACCAAGGCUUCGACGGGUAGCUGGUCUGAGAGGACGAUCAGCCACACUGGCACUGCGACACGGGCCAGACUCCUACGGGAGGCAGCAGUAAGGAAUAUUGCGCAAUGGGCGAAAGCCUGACGCAGCGACGCCGCGUGGGGGAUGAAGGUCUUCGGA
rnacentral:rRNA from 1 species